GUUAGCAGGACCACUUUCGUAACUCCAACUUACACGACUAUCUAUCCCAGGAGGUUCUCAACAAAUCCGUGGUAUGCAAAUGACUAAGAGCAAAGAAAAGGAAAAUUACAGAACCAAACAAGAACAGCAGAGUGACUCAUUGAUGGAGCCUGCUCCCAUUCGUGUACUUUAUCUAUGGCUGUGUUUUGAUUCUAAUCCCACAUGGAGACAAAACCUGCAAUAUCAAUGGCUGGGGACCCUUCCCUACAACAAGAUCACCCACCUUUUGACUUACAAUUUGUCAUCAAGAGGCAGCCUCAGAUUUCUGCAGUAGAGCAGGGUCUGAUAAACACCUCCCAGUGCCACCAGGAAAGCAGAGGUAAUCUUUGAGAAAUAAAUAAAUAAAUAAAUUCUAAAAAAGCUCUGGA
rnacentral:lncRNA from 1 species